CGCCUAUUGAUUAUUCAAUAAUAGGUAAGCCCUGCCCAGUGAUAUAUUCAACGGCCGCGGUAUCCUGACCGUGCAAAGGUAGCAUAAUCAUUUGCCUCUUAAUUAGAGGCUAGUAUGAAUGGGUAGACGAAAGUCAAGCUGUCUCAUCUACUACUUUAUAAAUUAAUCCUCAGGUGAAGAAGCCUGAAUCUUAUUAAAAGACAAGAAGACCCUGUCGAGCUUAAUCCUUCUCUUAAAAAUUAUUUUAUAUACUCUUUAACCUAAGAUUUUGUUGGGGCGACAAAGGAACAAUUUAUCUUCCUUCCUAAAAAUAGAUUUCAUAUCCUUCCAUUUGACCCAUUUUAUGAUCAUAGAAAAAAGCUACCGCAGGGAUAACAGGCUAAUCUUCCUCAAGAGCCCAAAUCUAAAGGAAGGCUUGGCACCUCGAUGUUGGCUUAGGAUCUCUUCUAAAUGCAACAGUUUAAAAAGAAGGUUUGUUCAACCUUUAAUUU
rnacentral:rRNA from 1 species